CUACGCGACGCUCUUUCGCCUAUUUUAAUUCAUCAAAUAUGUAUGACAAUUCACAACCAGUGCAUUCCGAGAAUUUUAUUUCCGCUUGCGAAAAUGAUGUGCUUCAUGUAUUGCAAUGCACUUUAAGAAUGAGAAUAAAAACUUGAUUGAACAUGCAUUCUAUGUACGUUAUUCAUAAAUGAUGAUCUAUUUUAUAGAAAUAUGAAUAGGAACAAACUAAAGAUACCAGGAAAAAAAAAAACAAAAAUAUAAAUGAUAUAAAACAACGAUUAUAUCUAUGUACGUACAGUAAAAUUCGAUAU